AUACGGAGGGUGCAAGCGUUGUCCGGAUUUACUGGGCGUAAAGGGAGCGUAGGCGGACUUUUAAGUGAGAUGUGAAAUACCCGGGCUUAACCUGGGUGCUGCAUUUCAAACUGGAAGUCUAGAGUGCAGGAGAGGAGAGUGGAAUUCCUAGUGUAGCGGUGAAAUGCGUAGAGAUUAGGAAGAACACCAGUGGCGAAGGCGACUCUCUGGACUGUAACUGACGCUGAGGCUCGAAAGCGUGGGGAGC
rnacentral:rRNA from 1 species